AGUAGUAGUUUGGGAUUGGAAACCUAACCAUGCAAUGGGCUUGUGCGGCAUAGACUAACUAGUUUUCCACCAUGAAAUCAAUUGUGUCUCAUUCUAACUCAACGAUUUCACUCCAAAAUAGCUUUGGUGACUGCAAUCUCAUGAGUUGUUGUUCUAAGUCCCCCUCUCUCAACUUGAAACUUUUGUCUCCCAUUACCCCGAAGCAAAACACCAAGCACCUGACAAAGGAUGACAAGAGUAAGGGUUGAUAGCAGCCGUUCAGUGUUAUUUUGGAUAGUGGGGAUGGGUCUCGGGUUUUGUUGGAUUUGUGGUAGCGUUGUGGCUUGAGUGGAGGAGAGCUGCGAUGGUAUCUCUAAUGGGUAUCUAUGAAUAUUGGAUAUUUGUGAAUUGGAAUGGAAGAAAGAGAAACAGUGAACAAAAGGAAAAAAAAAAACAAAAAUGUUAAUUGGGUGUUGGGUAGUUAUGGAUUUUAAGAAUUUUAUCCCUCAUCUGAUUUAAUGGCAAAAUUGAUUGAAAUUGGAUGGAAUAACCUUUUAGUUUAACGGUGGCAAAAGACGUUAAAGUUUUAAUGAGUUUUUCAAAAUUGAUUGAAAUUGGAUGGAAUAACCUUUUAGUUUAACGGUGGCAAAAGACGUUAAAGUUUUAAUGAGUUUUUCAAAAUGUAGGAAUUGACUUAUAAAAAAUGAAUGACAAUAUGCAGAGAUAAAUUAUAACUCUCUCAUAUUGAAAUGUGGAAUGAUGAUUCUAUGCAAGGAUGUGAACUUACUCCCCUUGGUUAGUGUUAAAAAAAUCAAGAGAUAAAUGUUAUUCAUAUAAAAUUUAACAUUUAAAUAGAAUAAUUAUUAACUUAA
rnacentral:misc_RNA from 1 species